rnacentral:rRNA from 1 species
GAUGAACGCUGGCGGCGUGCUUAACACAUGCAAGUCGAACGAAAAGGCCCUGCUCUUGUUCGGUGCUCGAGUGGCGAACGGGUGAGUAACACGUGAGUAACCUGCCCUUAUCUUUGUGGUAACUUCUGGGGACUGGGGCUAAUACCGGAUAGGAUCUCCUGCUGCAUGUUGUUGGUUGGAAAGUUUCGGCUGUUGGGGAUGGACUCGCGGCUUAUCCGCUUGUUGGUCGGGUAGUGGCUUACCAAGGCUUCGACGGGUAGCCGGCCUGAGAGCGUGACCGGCCACAAGGCGACUGAGAGACGGACCAGACGCGUACGGGAGGCAGCAGUGGGGAGUAUGGCGGAAUGGGCGGAAGCGUGAUGCAGCAACGCUGCGUGCGGGAUAACGGCUUUUGGGUGGUAAACAGCUUUCUCCGGAGACGUAGCGUUAGUGACGGUAACGGGUAAAAAAGCACCGGCUAACUACGUG